GGCCUGUUAGCUCAGUUGGUUAGAGCGCCGUGUUAAUAACGCGGAGGUCAUGAGUUCGAUCCUCUUACGGGCCA
rnacentral:tRNA from 1 species